rnacentral:rRNA from 1 species
UGAACGCUAGCGGCAGGCCUAAUACAUGCAAGUCGAGGGGUACAGGUGUAGCAAUACAUGCUGACGACCGGCGCACGGGUGCGUAACACGUAUGCAACCUACCCAUUACUGGAGGAUAGCCCGAAGAAAUUCGGAUUAAUACUCCAUAGUAUAGUGAAGAGGCAUCUCUUUAUUAUUAAACUCCGGUGGUAAUGGAUGGGCAUGCGUUGCAUUAGCUAGNGGUUGAGGUAACGGCUCACCAAGGCUACGAUGCAUAGGGGA